CUUUUCAUAAAUAUCUCUCUAAUAAAAUAGCACAGAGAGAAAAGCAAUCACUUCUACAGUCUCUCUCUUGAGCCCCCAUAGAAUCCCUUUCUUCCACCUAUCUCUGUCGCCUGCGAGCACCGAAAAUUUCUGCAGAUUGACGUGUCUACUGGUUUCGGAGCUCAAAAUUCAAACUCGGGAUACUGCCUCGAAGAUGAUGGCAUGUGCAAAGUUUGAGGGUAAACGAUUUGGCGAGAAAAAUAAUUUAAAUAUUUUGUGAAGUACAGUUGAAGUUAUUCUCUUGCAAUAGGGACUUUACAAAGAUUUGUAAGGUAAGAUGUCACAAGGCAUGAAGAAGCGGAGUUGGAAGAAUUGAAACUGGAGACAGUCAACACCAUUAGAUUGGCUUGUACUUAGGUAAGAAUAAUGCUGAACAAAUAGGGAAU